UUACACAUGCAAGUCGAGGGGUAUAGUUCUUCGGAGCUAGAGACCGGCGCACGGGUGCGUAACGCGUAUGCAAUCUACCUUUUACAGAGGGAUAGCCCAGAGAAAUUUGGAUUAAUACCUCAUAGUAUGUGAGAAUCGCAUGGUUUUCACAUUAAAGUCACAACGGUAAAAGAUGAGCAUGCGUCCCAUUAGCUAGAUGGUAAGGUAACGGCUUACCAUGGCAACGAUGGGUAGGGGUCCUGAGAGGGAGAUCCCCCACACUGGUACUGAGACACGGACCAGACUCCUACGGGAGGCAGCAGUGAGGAAUAUUGGACAAUGGGCGCAAGCCUGAUCCAGCCAUGCCGCGUGCAGGAUGACGGUCCUAUGGAUUGUAAACUGCUUUUGUACAGGAAGAAACACUCCCUCGUGAGGGAGCUUGACGGUACUGUAAGAAUAAGGAUCGGCUAACUCCGUGCCAGCAGCCGCGGUAAUACGGAGGAUCCAAGCGUUAUCCGGAAUCAUUGGGUUUAAAGGGUCCGUAGGCGGUUUAAUAAGUCAGUGGUGAAAGCCCAUCGCUCAACGGUGGAACGGCCAUUGAUACUGUUAAACUUGAAUUAUUAGGAAGUAACUAGAAUAUGUAGUGUAGCGGUGAAAUGCUUAGAGAUUACAUGGAAUACCAAUUGCGAAGGCAGGUUACUACUAAUGGAUUGACGCUGAUGGACGAAAGCGUGGGUAGCGAACAGGAUUAGAUACCCUGGUAGUCCACGCCGUAAACGAUGGAUACUAGCUGUUGGGAGCAAUCUCAGUGGCUAAGCGAAAGUGAUAAGUAUCCCACCUGGGGAGUACGUUCGCAAGAAUGAAACUCAAAGGAAUUGACGGGGGCCCGCACAAGCGGUGGAGCAUGUGGUUUAAUUCGAUGAUACGCGAGGAACCU
rnacentral:rRNA from 1 species